AACGAACGCUGGCGGCAUGCCUAACACAUGCAAGUCGAACGAGACCUUCGGGUCUAGUGGCGCACGGGUGCGUAACGCGUGGGAACCUGCCCUUAGGUUCGGAAUAACUCCCCGAAAGGGGUGCUAAUACCGGAUAAUGUCUUCGGACCAAAGAUUUAUCGUCUUUGGAUGGGCCCGCGUUGGAUUAGCUAGUUGGUAGGGUAAAAGCCUACCAAGGCGACGAUCCAUAGCUGGUCUGAGAGGAUGAACAGCCACACUGGGACUGAGACACGGCCCAGACUCCUACGGGAGGCAGCAGUGGGGAAUAUUGGACAAUGGGCGAAAGCCUGAUCCAGCAAUGCCGCGUGAGUGAUGAAGGCCUUAGGGUUGUAAAGCUCUUUUACCCGGGAUGAUAAUGACAGUACCGGGAGAAUAAGCUCCGGCUAACUCCGUG
rnacentral:rRNA from 1 species